rnacentral:rRNA from 1 species
UGGGGAAUUUUCCGCAAUGGGCGAAAGCCUGACGGAGUGACGCCGCGUGGGGGACGAAGGCCUUCGGGUCGUAAACCCCUGUCAGAGGGAAAGAAGGGUGUCGGCGCGAUAACCGCCGGCAUCUGACGGUACCUUCAGAGGAAGCCCCGGCCAACUCUGUGCCAGCAGCCGCGGUAAGACAGAGGGGGCAAGCGUUGCUCGGAAUCACUGGGCGUAAAGGGCGCGUAGGCGGGAUGGCAAGUCAGUCGUGAAAUCUCUCGGCUCAACCGAGAAACGGCGGCUGAUACUGCCGUUCUUGAGGGAUGCAGAGGAGACUGGAAUUCCCGGUGUAGCGGUGAAAUGUGUAGAGAUCGGGAGGAACACCGGUGGCGAAGGCGGGUCUCUGGGCAUCUCCUGACGCUGAGGCGCGAAAGCGUGGGGAGCAAACGGG